rnacentral:lncRNA from 1 species
GUUUUUGCAUUAGACUCUCCAUGGGCUCCAUAGACUCUCCUGUACCUUACGACUGGGCACAGGAGGGUUUCCCCGGUGAAAUGGAGAAGAGGACACACUUGGUCUUUUCAACUUUACUAGGAGGGCUCCUUUCUUCCCAGUCCAAACAUAUGAAGCUCAUUUCUGCCACCCUUCCUAGAAAACUGGUUGCUGACAGAGACAUGUGGAAAGGUAAGUAAACCUGGGCCCAAGAUCACAGAGCACACAGCUGGAAUUCACAGCAAGACCUGCUUGACUUCGAAGUCAGUGGUCUUUCCCCUGCUUCCCACGAGACAGGUAAUCCCUCAGCUUACUCUUGAAGAGGCAAUGUGGGCUACUGCAUUUGAAUGUCUGAAUUCAAGCCUUGUAGAAACAACUAGCAGUAACCAAACACCAUUAUUUUUGUUUGUUCAUUUGUUUCCAAAUGACUUGUGACUUUUCUAAUGGAGAAAACAUUCAACCCAAAUCUUAAUUCCACCAACAAUGAGUGUGUGCCUUGGACAAUUCACAGCCUGUCUGAGCUAGUUUAUUUUAGAGUAAGCAAGUUGGAGUAGGUGACCUCUGUGUUCUUUGUAAUUUGAGACGUUUUGGUGUUCACACAGGUUACUACAUGAGGAGCUGGGACUGGAAUACAGGUUUUCUGUGUUCACCUGGGGAUGGCUUUUCCAUCAUCCCUCCUGAGUCUGUGAGGUAUCCCAGUUU